rnacentral:rRNA from 1 species
AAACAAAGACCCUACCCUUACAUCAUCGUCCGCCUGGAGAUUACGAACAUUAGUUUAAAACCCAAAGGACCUGGCGGUGCUUAACAUCCACCUAGAGGAGCCUGUUCUAGAACCGAUAACCCCCGUUAAACCUCACCUUUUCUUGCUCAUUCCCGCCUAUAUAUCGCCGCCGUCAGCUUACCCUGUGAAGGUCUCAAAGUAAACAAAAUUGAUCACAGUCCAAAACGUCAGGUCAAGGUGUAGCGUAUGAAAAGGAAAGAAAUGGGCUACAUUCACUAAAAUAGUGAACACGAAUAUUGUGCUGAAAAAUGCAGUUGAAGGAGGAUUUAGUAGUAAGCAGGGAACAGAGUGCCCU